rnacentral:rRNA from 1 species
CGUGGAGACAGGUGGUGCAUGGUUGUCGUCAGCUCGUGUCGUGAGAUGUUGGGUUAAGUCCCGCAACGAGCGCAACCCUUGUCCUUAGUUACCUGCAUUAAGUUGGGGACUCUAGGGAGACUGCCAGUGACAAACUGGAGGAAGGUGGGGAUGACGUCAAAUCAUCAUGCCCUUUAUGCCUUGGGCUACACACGUACUACAAUGGGCUGUACAGAGGGCGGCAAGACUGUGAAGUCAAGCGAAUCCCUUAAAGCAGUCCUCAGUUCGGAUUGUAGUCUGCAACUCGACUCCGUGAAGUUGGAAUCGCUAGUAAUCGUGGAUCAGCAUGCCACGGUGAAUACGUUCCCGGGCCUUGUACACACCGCCCGUCACACCACGAAAGUCUGCUGUACUCGAAGUCGCUGAG